GCAGUGGCGGUUCAGUGGUAGAAUCCCUGCCUUCCAUGCAGGAGACCCGGGUUCGAUUCUUGGCCAAUGCA
rnacentral:tRNA from 1 species